AUUCUCCUGCCUCAGCUUCUCCAGUAGCUGGAACUACAGACACCAAGAAACUGGACACCCUCCACCGGUAACAUAUUUUGGCGAGCCAGCCAGGAGAAGGUAGGCCCAAAGUUUGGGAUUUAUUUUUCUCCUUUCCCCUUUUACAUACAGGGAGAUUUUUCUCUGUCUGUCUGUUCCUUUCCACCUCGGGACCCUUGGUGGGAAGCGCAGAAACAUGGAAGCAACUGCAGGUUUCUGGCUGUGACCAGUGAAAUAAGGGGUUUCCAUGUGGAGGUGCCUAACCACCACCACCCUAUUCACUUAAGGGACCUGAGUGUUUUUCUUUUUUCUUUUCCUUUGUUUGUUUUUCAGUCUUUUAGCGGCUGUUUCCUAGUAGCUUCUUGGAAAUUGAGGGCAAUUCGCUGGGGUCACUCCCUGGUAUCGCCUGAAGGCCAAAGAGUGAAUGGGAAUAAUUGCCCUACCCAGAAGGGGGAAUGACUCUUUUUUUUUUUUAUCUUUUCCAGGUGUGGUCCCUGAUCCCUACGGUGGUGGUGGUAACUCACACUUGUUUCAGGUGACUUAAACCUUUUCUUAUGCUAAGUUUUUUGCUUGUCCUAUUCAACUAUCUAAGGACAAAAAAGCCCACCCAGCAUCCAGUUCCUAUGUAUCAUUACAGUUCAGGGCUAUCCUUAUCAAGCUCAUAGCUCAUAGGAGGCUCUGGAGGGAAAACAUGCAGAGAAAGGUCAGAGACGUCUGACACUCUUUUGGACCCCAUAGGGGGACGCCCUGAGGAUCCUCCGAAUCUCAACCUCUCCAAAGGGGGUGCUCUCGGCAGAGGUUUUGAGGUCUAGUACUAAGCCCCCCUUAGAAUUUUCUCUCCGGUUUGCAAUACUGUUUAGCCCCAGUAUAGUUUGGAAUCUGGAGUUUCCUGUUGAAUGGGAAAGUGGGAUGGCAUUGCAUGUAUCCAGCCUUUGUUGCUGCUGUUCUAAGCAGGGGGCCUGGUUAACAUGUGACAUGCUCCUUGGGUGCUGUUUGGCCCCAGUGUUCUUUGGAAUCUGGAGAGGUUUGGUCUUGAAAAAUCAAGCUCCAUGGAGACUGCUUUACCUGAAAUUUUGGUUCACAGCCUUUGUUGGAUUAUCUAUUGAGACAAAGUAAAUGCCAACAAGCUUGUAUUGCUAUCUCACAGCUAAGGUUCCAAGCUGUUGGUUCUUCGUUUAUGUGUGGGUCUACAUGUCUAGAUGUGUUUAUUUGUAUGUACACCUAUUGUAAUACAUUGUGUCUACCAAAUUGGCUUACAAGUAAAAGAGCACUCAUAAAUAAAGUAAAUAAGUUUAAGCAAUUUUCAAGUUCACCUGACUUAAGUAUAACUUUGCUAAACAAGCUGACUUUAAAAUUAUUGGUAGAAUAAAAACAGAAAUGUAGGAAGGGCACAGUGGCUCAUGCCUGUAAUCCCAGCACUUUGGGAGGCUGAGCUGGGUGCAUCACCUGGGGUCAGGAGUUUGAGAUUUAAAAUGCUACUACUGCACACAAUGUGUUUUUUAAAAAAUGUUAAGCCAGUAAGUACUCAAGCACUAGGAAAACCCUCCUAAACAUGCCCUGACGUAACCCUUCACAGAGAAAGGUCCUAUAAAACCAACCCACACACUACCCUUGGGGAGCAGCCUAGUCGUUUUUCCUUCUUGGUGCUGACUUCCUUGUGCACAAGCUAAAAUAAACUCUCUUUGCUACUAUGUCUGGUGAUCUCUCUUGAUUUCUAUCCUGGGAGAUUACAAGGACCCAGGCACCUGUAACACCACGGUGCAAUGCCAGCCACAGUUGGCUUCCUAAAGUGGGUGUGUGGCAGGUGUCCGGGAGCAUUUGAGGCCAGGGAUCUGGACCAGUGGUUCCCGAUUGGAAGCUUCUGGUCCUCAGGGGACAUUGCAAUGUCUAGAGGCAUUUUGUGUUGUCACAACUUGGGUAGGGAGUGCUCCUAGCAUCUGGUGGGUAGAAGCCGGCAAUACUGCUAAACAUCCUACAGCACCCGAGGCAGCGCGCCCACCCACCGCGCACCAGAGAAUUACAGCCCAACGUGUCAGUUAUGCUGAGAAUGAAUCUUGAUCUUGAGGGUCAACUUGAUUCAGUAUGAAGUUAUUUAAAACAUAACCCCCGAAGCUUUGUACAUUCGUGAAUUCUGCUGGUCAAGAAUUCUCAGGAGGCAGAGUGGGCAGGCCCCUGCUCCGUGAUGCUUGUGGCCUCGGCUGGAAAGAGCUGAGUGUCGAGGUCACUGGGGCGGCCAGAGCAGGCCCCGGGCUUCCUCACUCCCAUGCCUGCCCGGGGCCACCCAGGGGUGAGGCGAGCUGCGACCGUCCCCGUGCACCUGCACGCAGCCUGUCUGUGUGGCCAGGCUUCUUUAUACCCGACACCUCAGAGCGGUCACCUCAGGGCUCUGAGGGGGAGUGUUCCUGCGCUCAGGGUGGGACUUUUAUGAUGGGACCUUUAUGGGAGCCACCCAGGGUCCCUUCUGAUGUACGCUGUUGGCUAUAGCAGUCACAGCCCUCCCAGAUUCAGAAGGAUGGAACACAGGCCCCAUCUCUCCAUGAAAAGAGGGUCCAAUAAUUUGUGACCUUGUUUCAAAAUUGCCACAGAGAUGGCCCUCCCUUUUCACUGCUCAGCUCAGCCGUGCUGUGACCCAGUGCUUGGGCUCAGCUUGUCCUAGAGCACCAUCCCUCCCACCCCUGCAAACCCGGGGCAGAAACGCUCCUGGUGUUUGUCCCACCCGAGGCCUCCAUAUCAAGGAUGUAUAGGUUUUUCUUUUAAAUGUCAACAAGAAAUGUCUCUGUCCCUAGACAAUGGGGCUGCUUACAGUAACCUAGGUGAAUUCUCUCAAAAGUGAUUCAUCUUGCUAAGGGAAGGCUCCUCUGUACUCCUCCCUCUGCCCCAGUGUGGGACCCUUACUCUUGACAGGUGCCAUCUGCUUCUCCUAGGGGCUGGAGGGGUGCACACAAAGCUACCUGCUGCAAUGAUUUCCAGAUGUCAUGGUUCCCUUAUUUAUCAAAGUAUAAUUUUCAAGAGGUUGUAAAACACAAUCCUCAUACCAAUGUAUGAGGAUGCAAUGUAAGUGCAUGUCAAAGACUUAAUACUGAUGUGGAAAAAAUCAGGUGAUAAAGCUAGUUCAAAGAUAACCUGAAACAUUGUUUAUUUGCUGAAGAAAGAUGAGGAAUGAGAUUGCUAGAUACAAAACUGGUUAAUGCACCUUCAGAGAACUAAAACUUAACUUCAGAAAUUAUCUUUUCUAUGAGACAAAAAUAAUUUGCAUUUGUAUCCUAGCAAGAUUCUAAAAGUUGUUGGAAACAGUGAGUUCCUCCUCAAAGGUUCCUCUUGUCCUUUAUUUUCAAAGCCUAACUACCUUGCCUCCUUGCCCGUAAUUACAGUAAACAACCUUCCAGCCGUUCCCAAUCUGUAACCCACAUCCGUUCCCAAUCUGUAACAACCCACAUCUGUUCCUUAUUUGACGCCCUUAGUUCUGAAACUGCUCUUCCUGCUGCUGGAGCCCCCACCCCUGCUCCAUUUUGAAGUAGCUGAUCCGGAUCAGCUUAGAUUGUGCCAAGUUUCAAGAAAAAGAUGAAAUAUGAGUUGCAUUUUGACAAAUGAAGAGGAUGUGAAGGGCAGAAGGAGCAGAAACUACCAGCAGAGAUGCUAAGAUGAAAGGCACAGAGUGCAAGUUGGAUUGAAAAAACAAGACCUAUCCGAGUGCUGACUUCAAAAGACUCAUCUCAUACAUAAUGACACCCAUAGGCUCAAAGUAAAGGAUUGGAUAAAUAUUUAUUAUGCAAAUGGAAAACAAAACAAAAAAAAGA
rnacentral:lncRNA from 1 species